rnacentral:rRNA from 1 species
GUCCAGACUCCUACGGGAGGCAGCAGUGGGGGAUAUUGCACAAUGGGGGGAACCCUGAUGCAGCGACGCCGCGUGGGUGAAGGAGCGUUUCGGCGCGUAAAGCCCUAUCGGCAGGGAAGAAGAUGACGGUACCUGACCAAGAAGCCCCGGCUAACCACGUGCCAGCAGCCGCGGGAAUACGUAGGGGGGAAGCGUUAUCCGGAUUUACUGGGUGUAAAGGGGGCGCAGACGGCGAUGCAAGCCAGGAGUGAAAGCCCGGGGCCCAACCCCGGGACUGCUCUUGGAACUGCGUGGCUAGAGUGCAGGAGGGGCAGGCGGAAUUCCUGGUGUAGCGGUGAAAUGCGUAGAUAUCAGGAGGAACACCGGUGGCGAGGGCGGCCUGCUGGACUGCAACUGACGUUGAGGCCCGAAAGCGUGGGGAGCAAACAGGAUUAGAUACCCGAGUACA